rnacentral:rRNA from 1 species
GACGAACGCUGGCGGCGUGCUUAACACAUGCAAGUCGAACGGAAAGGCCUACUUUCCCUUGUGGAUUGCGGGUACUCGAGUGGCGAACGGGUGAGUAACACGUGAGUGAUCUGCCCCCAACUUGGGUAUAAGCCUGGGAAACUGGGUCUAAUUCCCGAUAGGACUGCAGGGUGGUGCCUGUGGUGGAAAACGAUUUUCUAGUGGUUGGGGAUGAGCUCGCGGCCUAUCAGCUUGUUGGUGGGGUAAUGGCCUACCAAGGCGGCGACGGGUAGCCGGCCUGAGGGGGUGGACGGCCACAUUGGGACUGAGAUACGGCCCAGACUCCUACGGGAGGCAGCAGUGGGGAAUAUUGCACAAUGGGCGGAAGCCUGAUGCAGCGACGCCGCGUGGGGGAUGACGGCCUUCGGGUUGUAAACUCCUUUCGACCGCGAGGAAGCCACCUGGUUGGAAGGGUGGUGACGGUAGUGGUAGAAGAAGCACCGGCUAACUACGUG